rnacentral:rRNA from 1 species
UACGGGGGGGGCAAGCGUUGUUCGGAAUUACUGGGCGUAAAGGGCGCGUAGGCGGCCUGUUAAGUCGAACGUGAAAUCCCCAGGCUCAACCUGGGAACUGCGUCCGAUACUGGCAGGCUUGAAUCCGGGAGAGGGAUGUGGAAUUCCAGGUGUAGCGGUGAAAUGCGUAGAUAUCUGGAGGAACACCGGUGGCGAAGGCGGCAUCCUGGACCGGUAUUGACGCUGAGGCGCGAAAGCCAGGGGAGCAAACGGG